AUUGAACGCUGGCGGCAGGCCUAACACAUGCAAGUCGGGCGAGUGGCGGACGGGUGAGUAAUGUAUGGGGAACUGCCUGAUGGAGGGGGAUAACUACUGGAAAAGGUAGCUAAUACCGCAUACCAUCAGAUGAACCCAUAUGGGAUUAGCUAGUAGGUGGGGUAACGGCUUACCAAGGCGACGAUCCCUAGCUGGUCUGAGAGGAUGACCAGCCACAUUGGUACUGAGACACGGCCCAGACUCCUACGGGAGGCAGCAGUGGGUAAUAUUGCACAAUGUGCGCAAGCCUGAUGCAGCCAUGCCGCGUGUAUGAAGAAGGCCUUCGGGUUGUAAAGUACUUUCAGUCGGGAGGCGUUACCGACAGAAGAAGCACCGGCUAACUCCGUGCCAGCAGCCGCGGUAAUAC
rnacentral:rRNA from 1 species